UACGGGGGGGGCAAGCGUUGUUCGGAAUUACUGGGCGUAAAGGGCUUGUAGGUGGCCAACUAAGUCAGACGUGAAAUCCCUCAGCUUAACUGGGGAACUGCGUCUGAUACUGGAUGGCUUGAGUUUGGGAGAGGGACGCGGAAUUCCAGGUGUAGCGGUGAAAUGCGUAGAUAUCUGGAGGAACACCGGUGGCGAAGGCGGCGCCCUGGACCAACACUGACACUGAAAAGCGAAAGCCAGGGGAGCGAACAGG
rnacentral:rRNA from 1 species